UACGGAGGGAGCUAGCGUUGUUCGGAAUUACUGGGCGUAAAGCGCGCGUAGGCGGCUUUGUAAGUUAGAGGUGAAAGCCCGGAGCUCAACUCCGGAACUGCCUUUAAAACUGCAUCGCUUGAAUCCAGGAGAGGUGAGUGGAAUUCCGAGUGUAGAGGUGAAAUUCGUAGAUAUUCGGAAGAACACCAGUGGCGAAGGCGGCUCACUGGACUGGUAUUGACGCUGAGGCGCGACAGCGUGGGGGAGCAAACAGG
rnacentral:rRNA from 1 species